UCCCUGGUGGUCUAGUGGUUAGGACUCAGUGCUUUCAGCACUGCAGCCCAGGUUCGAUCCCUGGUCUGGGAA
rfam:Sus scrofa isolate TJ Tabasco breed Duroc chromosome 18, whole genome shotgun sequence.